AUUGAACGCUGGCGGCAGGCUUAACACAUGCAAGUCGAACGAGUGGCGGACGGGUGAGUAAUUCUUGGGAAUCUGGCUUAUGGAGGGGGAUAACUACGUGAAACUUUAGCUAAUCCCGCGUACCAUAUGAUGAGCCCAAGUGGGAUUAGGUAGUGGGUGAGGUAAAGGCUCACCAAGACGACGAUCUCUAGCUGGUCUGAGAGGAUGACCAGCCACACUGGGACUGAGACACGGCCCAGACUCCUACGGGAGGCAGCAGUGGGGAAUAUUGCGCAAUGGGGGCAAGCCGGAUGCAGCCAUGCCGCGUGUAUGAAGAAGGCCUUAGGGUUGUAAAGUACUUUCAGCGGGGAGGCGUUAACCGCAGAAGAAGCACCGGCUAACUCCGUGCCAGCAGCCGCGGUAAUAC
rnacentral:rRNA from 1 species